CUCAGGAUGAACGCUAGCUACAGGCUUAACACAUGCAAGUCGAGGGGCAGCAUUGGAGUAGCAAUACUCAGAUGGCGACCGGCGCACGGGUGAGUAACACGUAUCCAACCUGCCGCUUACUCGGGGAUAGCCUUUCGAAAGAAAGAUUAAUACCCGAUGGUAUAAAGAGUUCGCAUGUUCUCUUUAUUAAAGAAUUUCGGUAAGCGAUGGGGAUGCGUUCCAUUAGAUUGUUGGCGGGGUAACGGCCCACCAAGUCUACGAUGGAUAGGGGUUCUGAGAGGAAGGUCCCCCACAUUGGAACUGAGACACGGUCCAAAACUCCUACGGGAGGCAGCAGUGAGGAAUAUUGGUCAAUGGACGAGAGUCUGAACCAGCCAAAAGUAGCGUGAAGGAUGACUGCCCUAUGGGUUGUAAACUUCUUUUAUAAGGGAAUAAAGUGAGGGACGUGUCCCUUUUUGUAUGUACCUUAUGAAUAAGGAUCGGCUAACUCCGUGCCAGCCGCCGC
rnacentral:rRNA from 1 species